rnacentral:rRNA from 1 species
GAUGAACGCUAGCGAUAGGCUUAACACAUGCAAGUCGAGGGACCGGCGCACGGGUGCGUAACGCGUAUGCAACUUGCCUCACAUCGGGGGAUAACCCGUCGAAAGACGGACUAAUACCGCGUCCUGUUAGAUAGGCAUGCGUCCCAUUAGCUAGUUGGUGAGGUAACGGCUGACCAAGGCAACGCUGGGUAGGGGAACUGAGAGGUGGAACCCCCACACGGGUACUAAGACACGGACCAGACUCCUACGGGAGGCAGCAGUGAGGAAUAGUGGUCAAUGGGCGAGAGCCUGAACCAGCCAAGUCGCGUGAAGGAUGACUGUCUAUGGAUUGUAAACUUCUUUUGUAGGGGAAUAUGGACCCUACGAAUAAGCAUCGGCUAACUCCGUGCCAGCCGCCGCGGUAAUUC